rnacentral:rRNA from 1 species
GACGAACGCUGGCGGCGUGCCUAAUACAUGCAAGUCGAGCGCAGGAAACUGACGGAACUCUUCGGAGGGAAGGCAGUGGAAUGAGCGGCGGACGGGUGAGUAACACGUAAGGAACCUGCCUCAAGGAUUGGGAUAACUCCGAGAAAUCGGAGCUAAUACCGGAUAGUUCAUCGGACCGCAUGGUCCGCUGAUGAAAGGCGCUCCGGCGUCACCUUGAGAUGGCCUUGCGGUGCAUUAGCUAGUUGGUGGGGUAACGGCCCACCAAGGCGACGAUGCAUAGCCGACCUGAGAGGGUGAUCGGCCACACUGGGACUGGGACACGGCCCAGACUCCUACGGGAGGCAGCAGUAGGGAAUCUUCCACAAUGGACGAAAGUCUGAUGGAGCAACGCCGCGUGAGUGAUGAAGGUUUUCGGAUCGUAAAACUCUGUUGUAAGGGAAGAACACGUACGAGAGGGAAUGCUCGUACCUUGACGGUACCUUACGAGAAAGCCACGGCUAACUACGUGCCAGCCGCCGCAGUAA